rnacentral:rRNA from 1 species
UAACGUGGACCCGUGAUCCGGGUUGCGGACAGUGUCUGGUGGGUAGUUUGACUGGGGCGGUCUCCUCCUAAAGAGUAACGGAGGAGCACGAAGGUUGGCUAAUCCUGGUCGGACAUCAGGAGGUUAGUGCAAUGGCAUAAGCCAGCUUGACUGCGAGCGUGACGGCGCGAGCAGGUGCGAAAGCAGGUCAUAGUGAUCCGGUGGUUCUGAAUGGAAGGGCCAUCGCUCAACGGAUAAAAGGUACUCCGGGGAUAACAGGCUGAUACCGCCCAAGAGUUCAUAUCGACGGCGGUGUUUGGCACCUCGAUGUCGGCUCAUCACAUCCUGGGGCUGAAGUAGGUCCCAAGGGUAUGGCUGUUCGCCAUUUAAAGUGGUACGCGAGCUGGGUUUAGAACGUCGUGAGACAGUUCGGUCCCUAUCUGCCGUGGGCGCUGGAGAACUGAGGGGGGCUGCUCCUAGUACGAGAGGACCGGAGUGGACGCAUCACUGGUGUUCGGGUUGUCAUGCCAAUGGCACUGCCCGGUAGCUAAAUGCGGAAGAGAUAAGUGCUGAAAGCAUCUAAGCACGAAACUUGCCCCGAGAUGAGUUCUCCCUGAGACUUUAGGUCUCCUGAAGGAACGUUGAAGACGACGACGUUGAUAGGCCGGGUGUGUAAGCGCAGCGAUGCGUUGAGCUAACCGGUACUAAUGAACCGUGAGGCUUAACCUUACA